UACCGCGAUUCUACCACCAAUAUACCAACAUACCGAUGACGACGAAUACCGAUACAACGUAUACAUUGGUAUCGCUUAGGCUACACCAGCAUCUCCACGCAAAUUUACAUCUUUGCCGAUGUAAAUAAAUAAAACGGAUCGACGCCUGUCGUAUCGAGCGUUGUACGCCUCUGUCCGCUGAAACGUAAUCGAAUGUUUGCAAAAUAACGGUCGGCGCGGCUCGUGCCUCGAGAUUCGCCUGAAAAGUUCGCAGGAGAAUCGAGAAACGGAAGGAUGCAAUACGCACUCUCCCUGUUAUCGACCAUAUCAAGAGUAUAGCGAGAAUCAAGGGAGAACGAACGAUGGCGAGCAACACCGAGUCCAGCCGAGGGGGCCCAUUGGAAGAGCGAUCGAGGAUUUCUGAUCGUGUUGGUUAAAAGUGGAGGAUAAAAAUUCGAAAUCGUUGUAACGAUAAGAUGAUUUCAAGAAUUCGAGUAGACCACAGACCGUUCCUUUAAAAACUAAUCGCUACGGUUUGAACCAGUUUUCGUGGAGAUUGGAUUUCUUACGCAGCGUUGCUGA